AACACAGGGGAUGAGGUCCCCCUCGGCCGCAGGCCGAAACCGCCUUGAGCUGAUGACUUCUGCGC
rnacentral:ncRNA from 1 species